rnacentral:rRNA from 1 species
AACCCCUGCAUUCAGUUGCCAUCGGGUGAAGCCGGGCGACUCUGGAAGGACUGCCAUCGACAAGAUGGAGGAAGUGGGACGACGUCAAGUCAUCAUGGCCCUUAUGUCCAGGGCGACACACGUGCUACAAUGGCCGGCACAACGGGAAGCGAGUUCGCGAGGACGAGCGGAUCCCUUAAAGCCGGUCGCAGUUCGGAUUGAAGUCUGCAACUCGACUUCAUGAAGCUGGAAUCGCUAGUAAUCGCAGAUCAGCCAAGCUGCGGUGAAUACGUUCCCGGGCCUU